rnacentral:rRNA from 1 species
AAUGGCUGCAGUAAUUUGACUGUACAAAGGUAGCAUAAUCAUUAGUUUUUUAAUUUAAAGCUUGUAUGAAAGGUUGGACGAAAUAGAAUCUGUCUCUUUUUAAUGAUAAUUAGAAUUUAAUUUUUAAGUUAAAAAGCUUAAAUUUUUAUAAAAGACGAGAAGACCCUAUAGAGUUUUAUAAUUUUAAUUUAAUAAUUAAUUUGGGUUUAUUAAUUUUAUUUUCUUAAAAUUAUUUUAUUGGGGUAAUAGAAAGAUUUAAUUAAUUCUUUUUUUUAAAAAUCAUUAAUAUAUGAAAAUUUUAUGAUCCAUUAGUUUUUGAAUAUAAGAUUAAAUUACCUUAGGGAUAACAGCGUAAUUUUUUUUAAGAGUUCAUAUCGAUAAAAAAGUUUGCGACCUCGAUGUUGGAUUAAAGAUUAGUUUAGGGGUAGAAGUUUAAAUUUUUGGUCUGUUCGACCAUUAAAUCUUUACAUGAUCUGAGUUCAAACCGGUGUAAGCCAGGUUGGUUUCUAUCUUUAUUAAAGUUUUAUAUUUUAGUACGAAAGGACCAAGUAUAAUAUAUAUUUAUAUUUAAUUUAUUGAAUAU